AAAAUCCUGACCCAUCAAAAGCCUUUAAAACUGCCAGCAUGACCACCAUCCACAUUCUGUCUGUGAAGCAUGGAGAAGAGGGCACGGUCAUGAUCUAGAGACCUUCAACCCAUAUGCAGCGUUUGCUGAACUUGGCUCAGUCUUCCUGGCAUCUGGGAUCCCCUGGAGGAGACCACGUUCCGUCCUGGGACACAGUGGGCAGGACCCACUCUUUGGUGGUAGUGGUGGUGGCAGUAAUUCUUGGAUGGAAGGUAGUGCCUCUAAAGGAAAGUGUGGGGAGGACUUAAAAGGCUUUAUUCCGGACUCCAGCCUGCAGUCAUGGAGAGGCUCUCUCCGCAGUUUUGACUCAGAAGUUGUGAAGCUGGUACAAAUUUCUGGCUCUGCUACUGGCUGGCUGAAUGGGAGCCUCAUUCAGUGACCCUCAGUUGCUCUUGGUGCCACCGUGGGAAGUGGAGAGGACAGUGGGGAAUGGCUCUGGAGACAGUGUUGGCCACUGAACAAGGACAUAAAACGUCAGGGGACGUGCUCAUAGGAGCAGUAGCUGCAAAGGGGGAUGUGAGCUUCUCAGGCAACAGUUGUGUGACUCCUCAGACGUGGUGGAUAUUCGGUGGCCAUUGGGAUCCGGAUGGAGAUGGACAGAGAGUAGAACGGACAGGUAUCUUAGAGAAGAAACCCAAAUCUACACACGAAGCACACCCGUGUACACGUGACACACACAGCCAUCAAUAAGUUUAUUCAAUGACUUUAGCGAUUUUGUUCAGGAAUUGAAGUUUCACACUGCAGAACUUCUGUGUGUGGAAUCGUGUCAGUGCUCAACGAUGUUUUGAAUUUGGAAACAUUUCUAUUUCACAUCUUGGGACGAGGACCUUCAACCUACAUAUGGCUUUGAAAGUAGAUCCUACAAAAUGCUGCUUUGCCUAAAAAUGCAACAGAUCAUGAGGGAGUGGUCCCAGACUCCGGAAGAGGAUGCACUGUUCCUGCAAUCAACAGGUGGCUGUAAACAGGCUGUGCAUCGAGCUUAUAAUCCCCCAAGGAUGUGCUAUUCCUGCAAUCAACGGGUGGCUGUAAACAGGCUGUGCAUCGAGCUUGAAAUCAGUGUGUUUUCUUAAACCCAGAUGGACAGAAACAGAGAAACAAUCGGCAUCCUGCACUUUCUGCCAAAGAACAUGCCUCCUGAGAAACACAUCCCUCUGUAAAUAUCUAAGAGUGUCCUGCUGCAAACCUAGGUGGUGGGAGUUGCUUUCAUUUAGUGCAGCCAAGAGAUCUAGGACACGGCUCUCAGAGGCUGCCACUGUCCUGACACACCACGCUGUUACACGGUAAAGGUGUUUGUUACACAGGUAGGAAAACAUCCUUUAAAAUAAUGACGGUUAAGGGCACUUGCUGUUAUUAGAGAGGACCCAGGUUCAGUUCUCAGCAGCUUUUUUCACUCCCCAUUGUUGGGGACUGUAUUUCCAAGUUCCCCCUUUUACCUGUUUCAGAGUGCACCGUUUCUG
rnacentral:lncRNA from 1 species